GUCCACACCGUAAACGUUGGGCGCUAGGUGUGGGGAACAUUCCACGUUCUCCGUGCCGCAGCUAACGCAUUAAGCGCCCCGCCUGGGGAGUACGGCCGCAAGGCUAAAACUCAAAGGAAUUGACGGGGGCCCGCACAAGCGGCGGAGCAUGUUGCUUAAUUCGAGGCAACGCGAAGAACCUUACCUGGGUUUGACAUGUAGAGAAAUCCCCAAGAGAUUGGGAGUCCGCAAGGGUUCUACACAGGUGGUGCAUGGCUGUCGU
rnacentral:rRNA from 1 species